AUUGAACGCUGGCGGCAGGCCUAACACAUGCAAGUCGAGCGAGCGGCGGACGGGUGAGUAAUGUAUGGGGACUGCCCGAUAGAGGGGGAUAACUACUGGAAACGGUAGCUAAUACCGCAUCCUAUCGGAUUGCCCCUAUGGGAUUAGCUAGUAGGUGGGGUAAAGGCUCACCUAGGCGACGAUCCCUAGCUGGUCUGAGAGGAUGACCAGCCACACUGGAACGGAGACACGGGCCAGACUCCGACGGAGGCAGCAGUGGGGAAUAUUGCACAAUGGGCGCAAGCCUGAUGCAGCCAUGCCGCGUGUAUGAAGAAGGCCCUAGGGUUGUAAAGUACGUUCAGUCGGGAGGCGUUACCGACAGAAGAAGCACCGGCUAACUCCGUGCCAGCAGCAGCGGUAAUAC
rnacentral:rRNA from 1 species